rnacentral:rRNA from 1 species
AUGGGUUUACUAUGUUCUCUAAUUUACUCAUUCUUAAGGGUUUUCAUUUGUACCAGCAGAGACAGUAACAUGGCUAGAAAGUUACAAAAUGCAGCAUGUUUAACUAUGCGAGUACUACAACAAAUCACAGAUAAUUUCUCCGAGAAGCGAAAAAUUGGUCAAGGCGCAUAUGGAACAGUUUACAAGGGGGUGCAUGUCAGUGGGGAAGAGAUAGCUGUAAAGCUGCUCCAUAAUAACCUGCACGGAACUGACGACGAACAAUUCAAACGUGAGUUUGAAAACCUCAUGAGGCUUGAUCAUCACAACAUUGUACAGUUAGUUGGCUAUUGCUACGAAACACAUCAUAAACCUAUGCUGCAUAAUGAAGAAACCAUUUACGCUGAAGAAACAAACAGAGUGCUCUGUUUUGAGUAUAUGCGAAAUGGGAGCCUUCAAAAGCAUAUUUCUGAGGAAUGUGAUGGACUUGACUGGAACACACGUUAUGAAAUUAUCAAAGGGACAUGUGAGGGCUUAAAAUAUCUUCAUGAAGGAUUCAAAGAACCAAUUUACCAUAUGGACUUAAAACCUGACAAUAUACUGCUAGAUGAGAAUAUGAUGCCAAAACUAGCAGAUUUUGGCUUGUCUAAGCUCUACGAUGGAGAACAAUCGAUGAUCACUCAAAGUCUUGCGGGAACAAUUGGAUACUUGCCGCCAGAAUAUUUAUUUGAACACGUAGUCUCGAAAAAGCUGUACAUAUUCAGUCUGGGUGUUGUAGUGACAAAGAUAAUUACGGGACCUAGAGGCCCCACCAGAAGGGCUGAAAUGACACACCAAGAGUUUACUAAUCAAGUACAUGUAAACUGGAGGAAGAGGUUGCAGGAAACAUGGCAUGCUUCCCGACAACUAGAAGCUUAUUGCAACCAAGUGAAAAUAUGCAUUGAAAUAGCAUUGACAUGCAUGGAGAAUGAUAGGCACAAAAGGCCUACUAUAGUGGAUAUCAUACAUAAACUGAACCAGACUGAAACUGUGAUCAAAGAGCUGAAAAAUGAUCAGGCAGAAAACAUAAAGGGGGUUGAGAAUGAACACUCAUAUGAAGAGGACGACCCGUUGCCAGGCGUAGAAGGGCUAAGAAUCACUGGUGAAGCUUUUCCUGGAAGAGAACUUCAAGUGACUGGGUUUUCCAUCAACGGGACCACAAGCUGUAAUUUUCAGUGGGUAUGCCAUUUGGAAGAUGGAUCGGUGAAGUUCAUAAAAGUAGAAGAGCAGCCCUCAUAUUUAGUUACCGCUGAUGAUGUGGACACUUUACUAACCAUUGAGGUCCAGCCACUAGAUGACCGGAAUAGAAAGGGGACAUCGUUAAGGUUUAUGCUAAUGGGCAAAGAAAAAUUCCUUGCCGUGAGUUUGCCGAGAUAAUAUCUGUAUCUUGGUAG